UACGGAGGGUGCAAGCGUUAAUCGGAAUUACUGGGCGUAAAGCGCGCGUAGGCGGUCUGAUAAGUCGGGUGUGAAAGCCCCGAGCUCAACUCGGGAACUGCACUCGAUACUGUCAGACUAGAGUAUGGUAGAGGGAAGUGGAAUUCCACAUGUAGCGGUGAAAUGCAUAGAGAUGUGGAGGAACACCAAUGGCGAAGGCAACUUCCUGGACCAAUACUGACGCUGAGGUGCGAAAGCGUGGGGAGCAAACAGG
rnacentral:rRNA from 1 species